GGAUUGUGGCUCAGCGGUAGAGCACUCACCUUGCACAUGCAGGGGCCUGGGUUCAAUCCUUAGCAUCA
rnacentral:tRNA from 1 species